ensembl:lncRNA
UCCAGACUGACUAACUACUCUCUAACUUUUCCUACACACCACACACGCUAAACGAAUGAUGUAUAAUGUGAGCGAGGAAAGUGUAAAAAAACCGGAGGUGGGGGACAGUAAGAUUGUGUUGUCUCUUCGAUCCAACAAGGAGGAGGCGGAGGAGUAGAAGGUUGAUGAGGAGGAGCAGGAGGAGGAGGAGGAGGUGGAGCUGGACAGAAAAGGAGUUGGAGGGAAUGCCCUGAUGACAGUUCUCCCACUUUGUUUUUCCUCCUCGAAACGGACCAAGGCCAUGAUGUUCAAUCUCCUCCAUCGACCGGUGUCAUCAAAAGGGCUGCCAAUAUCCUGUCCUUCUUAAUUCGUGUGAUCCCAAUUCCCAUAAUUGCCCGGGUCUGCUUGACGAGCCAUCUAGCGCAGCUGCGCUGAACGCCCGGUCCGCCCACAACACACUGGAGAUGAGAGGCACUCGCUGGAAGCGUUCUGCUUCUUCCCCCACACAUCCCAACGUAGUGGCUUAUUUCCAUGCAGAAACAGUAAAACAAGUAUGGAGUAUGAAAGCCAUCCAUCUGCUCCGGGAAUUAAGAUGCUAGACAUGUAUUUGUUUGGAUAUGACAAGUGACAAGUGGAAAUCCUUGGCUGAGCGAUGUGCCUGAUAUGCACGGUUACUAUCAGGAUAUCACGUUGCAUAAAAUAUUGAAGAUCAUAAAUAAAACAUUUGAGUGUA